GUAGGUGGCAAGCGUUGUCCGGAAUUAUUGGGCGUAAAGCGCGCGCAGGCGGUUCUUUAAGUCUGAUGUGAAAGCCCACGGCUCAACCGUGGAGGGUCAUUGGAAACUGGAGAACUUGAGUACAGAAGAGGAAAGCGGAAUUCCACGUGUAGCGGUGAAAUGCGUAGAGAUGUGGAGGAACACCAGUGGCGUAGGCGGCUUUCUGGUCUGUAACUGACGCUGAGGCGCGAAAGCGUGGGGAGCAAACAGGGAUUAGAUACCCUGGUAGUCCACGCCGUAAACGAUGAGUGCUAAGUGUUAGGGGGUUUCCGCCCCCUUAGUGCUGCAGCUAACGCAUUAAGCACUCCGCCUGGGGAGUACGGCCGCAAGGCUG
rnacentral:rRNA from 1 species